UACAGAGGUCCCAAGCGUUUGUUCGGAUUCACUGGGCGUAAAGGGUGCGCAGGUGGGUUUGCAAGUUUGAUGUGAAAGCCCCGGGCUUAACCCGGGAAUGGCAUUGAAUACUGCAGAUCUGGAGGAUUGGAGGGGGGACUGGAAUUCUUGGUGUAGCAGUGAAAUGCGUAGAUAUCAAGAGGAACACCAGUGGCGAAGGCGAGUCCCUGGACAAUUCCUGACACUGAGGCACGAAAGCUAGGGGGAGCAAACAGG
rnacentral:rRNA from 1 species